GAAGGUUCUGCCUUCGAUUAGAUCUAUCGGCAGGUUUUUGGCUGAGAAUUCACAGACCUGUGGAUCAGGUUAACAUGUGAAGGGUUAAUGCUGACUCCUCUGACCUGCUUAGUCCCAAGGAGCCACGUAUUCUAAGUUGCCAGCUUCCAACAAGGAGAGGAGAGGAAUGCUCCCUUCCUCCCAGUGCGCUCACACUGCUGUAUAGGAGAACAGAGCAGCCAGCUGGGAGCCAGG